GUAUCCUGCCUAGCACUGGCUGAGGGAGCAGAAAGACAGAGUUGCACUGCACAUCCAAUGCCUGGAGGCAUGAAUACCAAACACAAUGGGAAAAGUUCUGAAGUUUCUGUAACUAAAAGCUUCCAAGAAGUGCAUGGAAACCAAACUUCAUAAUACUUUCAGUAGGUUUCUAAAUGCAAUAGCUUCAGAGAAAGAAGAGUUGGCAGCAUCUAAGAGACCAAAUGUGUCUCAGAAUAGUUGGGCAGAUAAAGAAUUUCAAGGGAAUAGAAAUACAUCCUCAAAGAGAAUUUGCAACAGUAUGGAAAAUGUAAAGACUGGUCUGUUAGGUAGAAACAGUUGAGGGCUAAGUUGCUAGAGAAGAUGGCUGAUGUUUAUUUUGCAAAGCUAAAAAGAUUGGAGGAAGACAUAAGCAAUUGGAAAGGGGGAAAAAAAAAGAAGAACUAUUAAGUCACUGCUCACAAACCACUGGGACCAGAAUUCCCAGCCUGGCAGCUUCUAGCUCUAAUUUUCAGCUUGCUAGUCUUUUCUUUUUGUAAUGGUUCUAUUAUUGUGAUUUAUAAAUAGAAACCAGCCAUUUCCAAAGUGUUCUGAGCAAAGGUUUCAUAAUCUUGACAUUUUGUCUUUGGAUGUAAUUUGUACAUAGUGAAGAAAUAGUAAAAGAGA